UACGUAGGGUGCAAGCGUUAAUCGGAAUUACUGGGCGUAAAGCGUGCGCAGGCGGUGAUGUAAGACAGAUGUGAAAUCCCCGGGCUCAACCUGGGAACUGCAUUCGAUACUGCUGCGCUAGAGUACUGGAGAGGAGAUUGGAAUUUACGGUGUAGCAGUGAAAUGCGUAGAUAUCGUAAGGAAGACCAGUGGCGAAGGCGGAUCUCUGGACAGUUACUGACACUGAGGCACGAAGGCCAGGGGAGCAAACGGG
rnacentral:rRNA from 1 species